rnacentral:rRNA from 1 species
CCUACGGGCGGCUGCAGUGGGGAAUAUUGGACAAUGGGGGAACCCUGAUCCAGCCAUGCCGCGUGUGUGAAGAAGGCCCUCGGGUUGUAAAGCACUUUCAGUGAGGAAGAACGCCUGGUGGUUAAUACCCAUCAGGAAAGACAUCACUCACAGAAGAAGCACCGGCUAACUCCGUGCCAGCAGCCGCGGUAAUACGGAGGGUGCGAGCGUUAAUCGGAAUUACUGGGCGUAAAGCGCGCGUAGGUGGCUUGAUAAGCCGGUUGUGAAAGCCCCGGGCUCAACCUGGGAACGGCAUCCGGAACUGUCAAGCUAGAGUGCAGGAGAGGAAGGUAGAAUUCCCGGUGUAGCGGUGAAAUGCGUAGAGAUCGGGAGGAAUACCAGUGGCGAAGGCGGCCUUCUGGACUGACACUGACACUGAGGUGCGAAAGCGUGGGUAGCAAACAGGAUUAGAUACCCCAGUAGUC